GACGAAGGAUGCAAGCGUUAUCCGGAUUCAUUGGGUUUAAAGGGUGCGUAGGCGGACUGAUAAGUCAGUGGUGAAAUCUCUUUGCUUAACAAAGAAACUGCCAUUGAUACUGUCGGUCUAGAGUAUAGAUGACGUUGGCGGAAUAUGACAUGUAGUGGUGAAAUACUUAGAUAUGUCAUAGAACACCGAUUGCGAAGGCAGCUAACGAAACUAUAACGGACGCUGAGGCACGAAAGUGCGGGGAUCAAACAGG
rnacentral:rRNA from 1 species